rnacentral:rRNA from 1 species
AGAGUUUGAUCCUGGCUCAGAAUCAACGCUGGCGGCGUGCCUAACACAUGCAAGUCGAACGCGAAAGGGGAGCAAUCCCUGAGUAGAGUGGCAAACGGGUGAGUAACACGUGGGUGACCUGCCUUCGAGUGGGGGAUAACGUCCCGAAAGGGACGCUAAUACCGCAUGACAUCCUGCUUUUGGAAAAGCGGAAAUCAAAGCUGGGGAUCGCAAGACCUGGCGCUUGAAGAGGGGCCCGCGCCUGAUUAGCUAGUUGGUGGGGUAAUGGCUCACCAAGGCGACGAUCAGUAUCCGGCCUGAGAGGGCGGACGGACACACUGGGACUGAGACACGGCCCAGACUCCUACGGGAGGCAGCAGUGGGGAAUUGUUCGCAAUGGGCGCAAGCCUGACGACGCAACGCCGCGUGGAGGACGAAGAUCUUCGGGUCGUAAACUCCUGUCGAGCGGGAAGAAUGCCUCGCGGAUGAAUAAGCCGCGGGGGUGACGGUACCGCUAAAGGAAGCCCCGGCUAACUCCGUGCCAGCAGCCGCGGUAAU